GAUGAAGAACGUAGCGAAAUGCGAUAAGUAGUGUGAAUUGCAGAAUUCAGUGAAUCAUCGAAUCUUUGAACGCACAUUGCGCCCCUUGGUAUUCCAUGGGGCAUGCCUGUUCGAGCGUCAUUUGUACCUUCAAGCUCUGCUUGGUGUUGGGUGUUUGUCUCGCCUCUGCGUGUAGACUCGCCUCAAAACAAUUGGCAGCCGGCGUAUUGAUUUCGGAGCGCAGUACAUCUCGCGCUUUGCACUCAUAACGACAGCGUCCAAAAGUACAUUUUACACUCUUGACCUCGGAUCAGGUAGGGAUACCCGCUGAACUUAAGCAUAUCAAUAAGCGGAGGA
rnacentral:misc_RNA from 1 species